GUCAUUUUUAUCACAGAAUACAUGUCAUCUGGGAGUCUGAAGCAAUUUCUGAAGAAGACCAAAAAGAACCACAAGACCAUGAAUGAAAAGGCAUGGAAGCGUUGGUGCACACAAAUCCUCUCUGCCCUAAGCUACCUGCACUCCUGUGACCCCCCAUCAUCCAUGGGAACCUGACCUGUGACACCAUCUUCAUCCAGCACAACGGACUCAUCAAGAUUGGCUCUGUCUUUCAUAGGAUUUUUGCUAAUGGUGAGAGCUCCCUCUGCCCCACUUAGGGCUCUGUUUGUGCUCCCUCUGCUCCCUUGGCGGCUGCCCAGUGCAUGCAGUCGUGGGAGCAAACCCUCUUCCCCUAUCUUCCCUGCCUAAUUAUGCCUGCUUAGUUUCUGCCCUGCCAGCCCUCCGCCUGCUUGCCCCUUCAUAACCUGCUUGUUUCCUGUGGAUUCUGCCUGGCUGGCCACUUACCUCCUGGAUUCAUGUUCUCCCUCAUCAUCAGGCUAGUUCCCAGAUCAUACUG
rnacentral:sRNA from 1 species